UACGAAGGGGGCUAGCGUUGCUCGGAAUCACUGGGCGUAAAGGGUGCGUAGGCGGGUUUCUAAGUCAGAGGUGAAAUCCUGGAGCUCAACUCCAGAACUGCCUUCGAUACUGGAAGACUCGAGUCCGGGAGAGGUGAGUGGAACUGCGAGUGUAGAGGUGAAAUUCGUAGAUAUUCGCAAGAACACCAGUGGCGAAGGCGGCUCACUGGCCCGGUACUGACGCUGAGGUGCGAAAGCGUGGGGAGCAAACAGG
rnacentral:rRNA from 1 species